GGGGAUGUAGCUCAGUGGUAGAGUACUUGCCUAGCAUGCAUGAGGCCCUGGGUUCAAUCCCCAGCACCACAA
rnacentral:tRNA from 1 species